UACGUAGGGGGCAAGCGUUGUUCGGAAUUACUGGGCGUAAAGGGCGCGCAGGCGGCUGGGCAAGUCCGAUGUGAAAGCUUCCGGCUUAACUGGAAAAUUGCAUCGGAAACUGCUCGGCUUGAAGGUGGGAGAGGGUAGCGGAAUUCCCGGUGUAGUGGUGAAAUGCGUAGAUAUCGGGAGGAACACCAGUGGCGAAGGCGGCUACCUGGCCCACUCUUGACGCUGAGGCGCGAAAGCUAGGGGAGCAAACGGG
rnacentral:rRNA from 1 species